AUAUAAAUGGACAAGUACCACUCUCAAAAUUGAAAGCAUAGUUACGUCGUUCAUAACUGAUUCACUAAUCAAAAUGCGUACAGCUAUUUUUCUCACAAUCUUUGCCAUCUUGGUAGCACUUGCAUCUUCUUAUCCAGCAGACAACUCUGAGGAUGUUGAAAAAUCCCCAUCAGAGAAGUUUUCUGGAGGGGUGGUAGGAGGUUGUACACAGUUUGAAUGUUCACAAUUCUGCUGGAAACACAAUUUUUCAUAUGGAUACUGUUUUUUAAACACAUGUAAUUGUUCUUGAAACUACAUUUUAUGAGAUGUAGCUUAUAUUAGUUACCUACCGUAAUAAAAUCUCUGAUCAUUGAAAAA